CGGCGAGCGAAGCGGGAAGAGCUCAAAUUUAUAAUCUGGCACCUUCGGUGUCCGAGUUGUAAUCUCUAGAAGUGUUUUCCGCGUUGGACCGCACACAAGUCUGUUGGAAUACAGCGGCAUAGUGGUGAGACCCCCGUAUAUGGUGCGGACGCCCAACGCUUUGUGAUACACUUUCGAAGAGUCGAGUUGUUUGGGAAUGCAGCUCAAAUUGGGUGGUAAAUUCCAUCUAAAGCUAAAUAUUGGCGAGAGACCGAUAGCGAACAAGUACCGUGAGGGAAAGAUGAAAAGCACUUUGGAAAGAGAGUUAACAGUACGUGAAAUUGUUGGAAGGGAAACGCUUGAAGUCAGACUUGCUUGCCGAGCAAUCGGUUUGCAGGCCAGCAUCAGUUUUCCGGGGUGGAUAAUGGUAGAGAGAAGGUAGCAGUUUCGGCUGUGUUAUAGCUCUUUGCUGGAUACACCUUGGGGGACUGAGGAACGCAGUGUGCCUUACGGCGGAUUUCUCGAGAUC
rnacentral:rRNA from 1 species